rnacentral:rRNA from 1 species
GCGCGAAAACUCCGCAAUGCGCGCAAGCGUGACGGGGGGACCCCAAGUGCCGUUGGUCUAUUGAUCGACGGUUUUUAGGAAGUCUAAGAAGCUUCCAGAAUAAGGGCUGGGUAAGACUGGUGCCAGCCGCCGCGGUAACACCAGCAGCCCAAGUGGUGGCCACGAUUAUUGGGCCUAAAGCGCUCGUAGCCGGACCAGCAAGUCCCUUGUGAAAUCGGGCCGCCCAACGGUUCGGCGUGCAAGGGAUACUGUUGGCCUUGAGGCCGGGAGAGGUCGGAGGUACUCCUGGGGUAGCGGUGAAAUGCUCUAAUCCUGGGGGGACCACCAGUGGCGAAGGCGUCCGGCCAGAACGGACCUGACGGUGAGGGGCGAAGGCUAGGGGAGCGAACGGG